UACGGGAGGCAGCAGUGAGGAAUAUUGGUCAAUGGCCGAGAGGCUGAACCAGCCAUGCCGCGUGCGGGAGGACGGCCCUAUGGGUUGUAAACCGCUUUUGUUGGGGAGCAAUAAGGAGCACGCGUGCUUCGAUGAGAGUACCCAGCGAAUAAGCAUCGGCUAACUCCGUGCCAGCAGCCGCGGUAAU
rnacentral:rRNA from 1 species